AAAUUGUUUAUCAUCUUAAAGUUGUCUUUUGUAUUCUAUUUAAUUGUUUGAAUGCAUAGAUCAUGAGUUUAUGAUCAGAUAUUAGUCAACACUGCAUUUUAUAAUGAUACACUGAAAUUAGGAUUUUUCGAAGAAAUUGGACUGAAAUUGCCGUAGGAUAUGGCCUUACAUUAUAGUGAUUUUCUCUGAAACUAUAGUUCUGACUGAGACAAAACUUGACAGUUAUGCUUGAAAUAACUUGCAAUUGGAGGGAAAAAAUUACAUUAAGUUUAUUUGACAUUUAGGUGUUCUUUAGGUGUAAUACCACCAAAUCAUGGUACGUCACAUCCGGUUGCAUACGAAAGUAGGCCUAAAAAAAUAUUCCCUUGAAUUUGACAGUUGUAGAAAAUUAACCCUGCAUUUCAAUGCACUUAAAUUUUUCUGAGUCGUAAAUAUGUAUGUUGGGUGUCUGAAAGCAUCAUUCUUUUUUUAUUUGAUGGUCUUAUAAAAUAUUUUGGAACGUUAAGGUUACAUAGUUACCAAAGCAGGUAACCAGUAAAUAACAGUGUAAAAAUUGGGUUGUCUACCCUCGGCGGUGGUUACUUUCUUAUAUGCAAUGAAAUGUAGUGUGAAAUUUUCACUGUAUCACUGGAAAGGAUUGAACUUUACACAUGCAAAGUAUUUCUUUGGUUGAAAUAAAGGUAAAUACUGUACGAUUUUUUUAAAAGUGCCAAUUUAACAAAGACUAAUAGGGAAAAAUCAAUGGUGGUAUUACACCUAUUUAGGGAAACUAAAUGUGCACUCGUGACCCUAUUGUACUUUCAUUUUUAAAAGUUAUUAAUAAACCAGUUCAUACAUUGUAAACAUGGACUAUUCGGAAUGGAUUUAGACACAGAAAGUACGUUUGAGGUAAAAUUGCAUUGAAAUGGGGGUUUACGGGUGUUUUUCUAGUCAAAUGGGUGGACAGACGAAGCUGUAUUUAGAUUACUGUGUUAAAUUUUAAAUUACCCUUACAGUUUUUGUUUUGUUUAUACAACAUGUGAAAUUUUUUAUUUCAGUGUUAACCAUGUUCUGAAGAGCAUUCUGUUGAAAAAUCUUAUAUGUGAAUUGGUCUGCAGAUGACACUUCAGCAUUAAAGUAUGUAUCAACUAUCAUCAUGUUUUUUUUUUGUUUUGGCCGCAAAAGUUUACAAUUUGCCAUUGUGCCGUCUACAUUUUGCACAGACAAUAACUCAUCUAAACACUUAUUUGUCCUGGAUUUAUACACAUCAGAAUCCAGUCUCACAUACUUAAACUUUAUAAUUCUUACCAAUUAUUUUUUGUACCAGCAUUCCAAGGGACAUAACCCUUUUUAAAAACAUUUUGAGGUAUUUUUUAUUACUCUUUCUCCCCAUUUUCUAAUGUAAAAUACAAGAAAGUGGACUUUUUGUGUAAAUCUAUUAGAAAUAUACUGUUAUGAGUAAAUAAAAAGACUUUGAUACCAGUAGCAAUAAAUGAUUGACUGAAAGGGAACCGUUAUUUCUCACACUAGGGGAACAGACCAAAAACUCAAGUUACACAUAAGGGCUUAUAGAAACUUCCGUGUAGACUGUUAACAUUUAUAGAGACAGUUCUUUCAGCUAAAACACUUUAAUUAUUGAUUUAACAUUACAUUUAUUUCAUUUUUGUGGGAAAAUAAUCACAUUUGUUUUAUUUUUUAGACAAAAGAUAUCAAGUUUUGAUGAAAAAGGAAGGAAGGAGGAAAAAUGGACCAAAACAGACCAAAACAGACCUUCAAAUGAACUCUAAAAGGUGCAAUAAAAUUGUUUAUCAUCUUAAAGUUGUCUUUUGUAUUCUAUUUAAUUGUUUGAAUGCAUAUAUCAUGAGUUUAUGAUCAGAUAUUAGUCAACACUGCAUUUUAUAAUGAUACACUGAAAUUAGGAUUUUUCGAAGAAAUUGGACUGAAAUUGCCGUAGGAUAUGGCCUUACAUUAUAGUGAUUUUCUCUGAAACUAUAGUUCUGACUGAGACAAAACUUGACAGUUAUGCUUGAAAUAACUUGCAAUUGGAGGGGAAAAAAAUUAGAUUAAGUUUAUUUGACAUUUAGGUGUUCUUUAGGUGUAAUACCACCAAAUCAUGGUACGUCACAUCCGGUUGCAUACGAAAGUAGGUCUAAAAAAAUAUUCCCUUGAAUUUGACAGUUGUAGAAAAUUAACCCUGCAUUUCAAUGCACUUAAAUUUUUCUGAGUCGUAAAUAUGUAUGUUUGGUGUCUGAAAGCAUCAUUCUUUUUUUUAUUUGAUGGUCUUAUAAAAUAUUUUGGAACGUUAAGGUUACAUAGUUACCAAAGCAGGUAACCAGUAAAUAACAGUGUAAAAAUUGGGUUGUCUACCCUCGGCGGUGGUUACUUUCUUAUAUGCAAUGAAAUGUAGUGUGAAAUUUUCACUGUAUCACUGGAAAGGAUUGAACUUUACACAUGCAAAGUAUUUCUUUGGUUGAAAUAAAGGUAAAUACUGUACGAUUUUUUUAAAAGUGCCAAUUUAACAAAGACUAAUAGGGAAAAAUCAAUGGUGGUAUUACACCUAUUUAGGGAAACUAAAUGUGCACUCGUGACCCUAUUGUACUUUCAUUUUUAAAAGUUAUUAAUAAACCAGUUCAUACAUUGUAAACAUGGACUAUUCGGAAUGGAUUUAGACACAGAAAGCACGUUUGAGGUAAAAUUGCCUUGAAAUGGGGGUUUACGGGUGUUUUCUUAAGUCAAAUGGGUGGACAGACAAAGCUGUAUUUAGUUUACUGUGUUAAAUUUUAAAUUACCCUUACAGUUUUUGUUUUGUUUAUACAACAUGUGAAAUUUUUUUAUUUCAGUGUUAACCAUGUUCUGAAGAGCAUUCUGUUGAAAAAUCUUAUAUGUGAAUUGGUCUGCAGAUGACACUUCAGCAUUAAAGUAAGUAUCAACUAUCAUCAUGUUUUUUAUUGUUUUGGCCGCAAAAGUUUACAAUUUGCCAUUGUGCCGUCUACAUUUUGCACAGACAAUAAAUCAUCUAAACACUUAUUUGCCCUGGAUUUAUACACAUCAGAAUCCAGUCUCACAUACUUAAACUUUAUAAUUCUUACCAAUUAUUUUUUUUUGUACCAGCAUUCCAAGGGACAUAACCCUUUUUAAAAACAUUUUGAGGUAUUUUUUAUUACUCUUUCUCCCCAUUUUCUAAUGUAAAAUACAAGAAAGUGGACUUUUUGUGUAAAUCUAUUAGAGAAAUAUACUGUUAUGAGUAAAUAAAAAGACUUUGAUACCAGUAACAAUAAAUGAUUGACUGAAAGGGAACCGUUAUUUGUCACACUAGGCGAACAGACCAAAAACUCGAGUUACACAUAAGGGCUUAUAGAAACUUCCGUGUAGACUGUUAACAUUUAUAGAGACAGUUCUUUCAGCUAAAACACUUUAAUUAUUGAUUUAACAUUACAUUUAUUUCAUUUUUGUGGGAAAAUAAUCACAUUUGUUUUUAUUUUUUAGACAAAAGAUAUCAAGUUUUGAUGAAAAAGGAAGGAAGGAGGAAAAAUGGACCAAAACAGACCAAAACAGACCUUCAAAUGAACUCUAAAAGGUGCAAUAAAAUUGUUUAUCAUCUUAAAAGUUGUCUUUUGUAUUCUAUUUAAUUGUUUGAAUGCAUAGAUCAUGAGUUUAUGAUCAGAUAGUAGUCAACACUGCAUUUUAUAAUGAUACACUGAAAUGAGCAUUUUUCGAAGAAAUUAGACUGAAAUUGCCGUAGGAUAUGGCCUUACAUUAUAGUGAUUUUCUCUGAAACUAUAGUUCUGACUGAGACAAAACUUGACAGUUAUGCUUGAAAUAACUUGCAAUUGGAGGGGAAAAAAAUUGCAUUAAGUUUAUUUGACAUUUAGGUGUUCUUUAGGGAAACUAAAUGUGCACUCGUGACCCUAUUGUACUUUCAUUUUUAAAAGUUAUUAAUAAACCAGUUCAUACAUUGUAAACAUGGACUAUUCGGAAUGGAUUUAGACACAGAAAGCACGUUUGAGGUAAAAUUGCAUUGAAAUGGGGGUUUACGGGUGUUUUCUUAAGUCAAAUGGGUGGACAGACAAAGCUGUAUUUAGUUUACUGUGUUAAAUUUUAAAUUACCCUUACAGUUUUUGUUUUGUUUAUACAACAUGUGAAAUUUUUUAUUUCAGUGUUAACCAUGUUCUGAAGAGCAUUCUGUUGAAAAAUCUUAUAUGUGAAUUGGUCUGCAGAUGACACUUCAGCAUUAAAGUAAUGUAUCAACUAUCAUCAUGUUUUUUGUGUUUUUUUUGGCCGCAAAAGUUUACAAUUUGCCAUUGUGCCGUCUACAUUUUGCACAGACAAUAAAUCAUCUAAACACUUAUUUGCCCUGGAUUUAUACACAUCAGAAUCCAGUCUCACAUACUUAAACUUUAUAAUUCUUACCAAUUAUUUUUUGUACCAGCAUUCCAAGGGACAUAACCCUUUUUAAAAACAUUUUGAGGUAUUUUUUAUUACUCUUUCUCCCCAUUUUCUAAUGUAAAAUACAAGAAAGUGGACUUUUGUGUAAAUCUAUUAGAAAUAUACUGUUAUGAGUAAAUAAAAAGACUUUGAUACCAGUAACAAUAAAUGAUUGACUGAAAGGGAACCGUUAUUUGUCACACUAGGCGAACAGACCAAAAACUCAAGUUACACAUAAGGGCUUAUAGAAACUUCCGUGUAGACUGUUAACAUUUAUAGAGACAGUUCUUUCAGCUAAAACACUUUAAUUAUUGAUUUAACAUUACAUUUAUUUCAUUUUUGUGGGAAAAUAAUCACAUUUGUUUUAUUUUUUAGACCAAAGAUAUCAAGUUUUGAUGAUAAAGGAAGGAAGGAGGAAAAAUGGACCAAAACAGACCAAAACAGACCUUCAAAUGAACUCUAAAAGGUGCAAUAAAAUUGUUUAUCAUCUUAAAGUUGUCUUUUGUAUUCUAUUUAAUUGUUUGAAUGCAUAGAUCAUGAGUUUAUGAUCAGAUAUUAGUCAACACUGCAUUUUUAUAAUGAUACACUGAAAUUAGGAUUUUUCGAAGAAAUUAGACUGAAAUUGCCGUAGGAAUAUGGCCUUACAUUAUAGUGAUUUUCUCUGAAACUAUAGUUCUGACUGAGACAAAACUUGACAGUUAUGCUUGAAAUAACUUGCAAUUGGAGGGGAAAAAAAUUGCAUUAAGUUUAUUUGACAUUUAGGUGUUCUUUAGGGAAACUAAAUGUGCACUCGUGACCCUUAUUGUACUUUCAUUUUUAAAAGUUAUUAAUAAACCAGUUCAUACAUUGUAAACAUGGACUAUUCGGAAUGGAUUUAGACACAGAAAGCACGUUUGAGGUAAAAUUGCCAUUGAAAUGGGGGUUUACGGGUGUUUUCUUAGUCAAAUGGGUGGACAGACAAAGCUGUAUUUAGUUUACUGUGUUAAAUUUUAAAUUACCCUUACAGUUUUUGUUUUGUUUAUACAACAUGUGAAAUUUUUAUUUCAGUGUUAACCAUGUUCUGAAGAGCAUUCUGUUGAAAAAUCUUAUAUGUGACAUGGUCUGCAGAUGACACUUCAGCAUUAAAGUAAUGUAUCAACUAUCAUCAUGUUUUUUUUGUUUUUUUGGCCGCAAAAGUUUACAAUUUGCCAUUGUGCCGUCUACAUUUUGCACAGACAAUAAAUCAUCUAAACACUUAUUUGCCCUGGAUUUAUACACAUCAGAAUCCAGUCUCACAUACUUAAACUUUAUAAUUCUUACCAAUUAUUUUUUUUGUACCAGCAUUCCAAGGGACAUAACCCUUUUUAAAAACAUUUUGAGGUAUUUUUUAUUACUCUUUCUCCCCAUUUUCUAAUGUAAAAUACAAGAAAGUGGACUUUUGUGUAAAUCUAUUAGAAAUAUACUGUUAUGAGUAAAUAAAAAGACUUUGAUACCAGUAAGCAAUAAAUGAUUGACUGAAAGGGAACCGUUAUUUGUCACACUAGGCGAACAGACCAAAAACUCAAGUUACACAUAAGGGCUUAUAGAAACUUCCGUGUAGACUGUUAACAUUUAUAGAGACAGUUCUUUCAGCUAAAACACUUUAAUUAUUGAUUUAACAUUACAUUUAUUUCAUUUUUGUGGGAAAAUAAUCACAUUUGUUUUAUUUUUUAGACAAAAGAUAUCAAGUUUUGAUGAAAAAGGAAGGAAGGAGGAAAAAUGGACCAAAAACAGACCAAAACAGACCUUCAAAUGAACUCUAAAAGGUGCAAUAAAAUUGUUUAUCAUCUUAAAGUUGUCUUUUGUAUUCUAUUUAAUUGUUUGAAUGCAUAGAUCAUGAGUUUAUGAUCAGAUAUUAGUCAACACUGCAUUUUAUAAUGAUACACUGAAAUUAGGAUUUUUCGAAGAAAUUAGACUGAAAUUGCCGUAGGAUAUGGCCUUACAUUAUAGUGAUUUUCUCUGAAACUAUAGUUCUGACUGAGACAAAACUUGACAGUUAUGCUUGAAAUAACUUGGCAAUUGGAGGGGAAAAAAUUACAUUAAGUUUAUUUGACAUUUAGGUGUUCUUUAGGGAAACUAAAUGUGCACUCGUGACCCUAUUGUACUUUCAUUUUUAAAAGUUAUUAAUAAACCAGUUCAUACAUUGUAAACAUGGACUAUUCGGAAUGGAUUUAGACACAGAAAGCACGUUUGAGGUAAAAUUGCAUUGAAAUGGGGGUUUACGGGUGUUUUCUUAGUCAAAUGGGUGGACACAAACGAAGCUGUAUUUAGUUUACUGUGUUAAAUUUUAAAUUACCCUUACAGUUUUUGUUUUGUUUAUACAACAUGUGAAAUUUUUUAUUUCAGUGUUAACCAUGUUCUGAAGAGCAUUCUGUUGAAAAAUCUUAUAUGUGAAUUGGUCUGCAGAUGACACUUCAGCAUUAAAGUAAUGUAUCAACUAUCAUCAUGUUUUUUUUUUGUUUUGGCCGCAAAAGUUUACAAUUUGCCAUUGUGCCGUCUACAUUUUGCACAGACAAUAACUCAUCUAAACACUUAUUUGUCCUGGAUUUAUACACAUCAGAAUCCAGUCUCACAUACUUAAACUUUAUAAUUCUUACCAAUUAUUUUUUGUACCAGCAUUCCAAGGGACAUAACCCUUUUUAAAAACAUUUUGAGGUAUUUUUUAUUACUCUUUCUCCCCAUUUUCUAAUGUAAAAUACAAGAAAGUGGACUUUUUGUGUAAAUCUAUUAGAAAUAUACUGUUAUGAGUAAAUAAAAAGACUUUGAUACCAGUAGCAAUAAAUGAUUGACUGAAAGGGAACCGUUAUUUCUCACACUAGGGGGAACAGACCAAAAACUCAAGUUACACAUAAGGGCUUAUAGAAACUUCCGUGUAGACUGUUAACAUUUAUAGAGACAGUUCUUUCAGCUAAAACACUUUAAUUAUUGAUUUAACAUUACAUUUAUUUCAUUUUUGUGGGAAAAUAAUCACAUUUGUUUUAUUUUUUAGACAAAAGAUAUCAAGUUUUGAUGAAAAAGGAAGGAAGGAGGAAAAAAUGGACCAAAACAGACCAAAACAGACCUUCAAAUGAACUCUAAAAGGUGCAAUAAAAUUGUUUAUCAUCUUAAAGUUGUCUUUUGUAUUCUAUUUAAUUGUUUGAAUGCAUAGAUCAUGAGUUUAUGAUCAGAUAUAUUAGUCAACACUGCAUUUUAUAAUGAUACACUGAAAUUAGGAUUUUUCGAAGAAAUUGGACUGAAAUUGCCGUAGGAUAUGGCCUUACAUUAUAGUGAUUUUCUCUGAAACUAUAGUUCUGACUGAGACAAAACUUGACAGUUAUGCUUGAAAUAACUUGCAAUUGGAGGGGAAAAAAUUGCAUUAAGUUUAUUUGACAUUUAGGUGUUCUUUAGGGAAACUAAAUGUGCACUCGUGACCUUAUUGUACUUUCAUUUUUAAAAGUUAUUAAUAAACCAGUUCAUACAUUGUAAACAUGGACUAUUCGGAAUGGAUUUAGACACAGAAAGCACGUUUGAGGUAAAAUUGCCUUGAAAUGGGGGUUUACGGGUGUUUUCUUAAGUCAAAUGGGUGGACAGACAAAGCUGUAUUUAGUUUACUGUGUUAAAUUUUAAAUUACCCUUACAGUUUUUGUUUUGUUUAUACAACAUGUGAAUUUUUUAUUUCAGUGUUAACCAUGUUCUGAAGAGCAUUCUGUUGAAAAAUCUUAUAUGUGAAUUGGUCUGCAGAUGACACUUCAGCAUUAAAGUAAGUAUCAACUAUCAUCAUGUUUUUUUUUUUUUUGGCCGCAAAAGUUUACAAUUUGCCAUUGUGCCGUCUACAUUUUGCACAGACAAUAAAUCAUCUAAACACUUAUUUGCCCUGGAUUUAUACACAUCAGAAUCCAGUCUCACAUACUUAAACUUUAUAAUUCUUACCAAUUAUUUUUUGUACCAGCAUUCCAAGGGACAUAACCCUUUUUAAAAACAUUUUGAGGUAUUUUUUAUUACUCUUUCUCCCCAUUUUCUAAUGUAAAAUACAAGAAAGUGGACUUUUUGUGUAAAUCUAUUAGAAAUAUACUGUUAUGAGUAAAUAAAAAGACUUUGAUACCAGUAACAAUAAAUGAUUGACUGAAAGGGAACCGUUAUUUGUCACACUAGGCGAACAGACCAAAAACUUGAGUUACACAUAAGGGCUUAUAGAAACUUCCGUGUAGACUGUUAACAUUUAUAGAGACAGUUCUUUCAGCUAAAACACUUUAAUUAUUGAUUUAACAUUACAUUUAUUUCAUUUUUGUGGGGAAAAUAAUCACAUUUGUUUUAUUUUUUAGACAAAAGAUAUCAAGUUUUGAUGAAAAAGGAAGGAAGGAGGAAAAAUGGACCAAAACAGACCAAAACAGACCUUCAAAUGAACUCUAAAAGGUGCAAUAAAAUUGUUUAUCAUCUUAAAGUUGUCUUUUGUAUUCUAUUUAAUUGUUUGAAUGCAUAGAUCAUGAGUUUAUGAUCAGAUAUUAGUCAACACUGCAUUUUAUAAUGAUACACUGAAAAUAGGAUUUUUCGAAGAAAUUAGACUGAAAUUGCCGUAGGAUAUGGCCUUACAUUAUAGUGAUUUUCUCUGAAACUAUAGCUCUGACUGAGACAAAACUUGACAGUUAUGCUUGAAAUAACUUGCAAUUGGAGGGAAAAAAUUACAUUAAGUUUAUUUGACAUUUAGGUGUUCUUUAGGGAAACUACAUGUGCACUCGUGACCUUAUUGUACUUUCAUUUUUAAAAGUUAUUAAUAAACCAGUUCAUACAUUGUAAACAUGGACUAUUCGGAAUGGAUUUAGACACAGAAAGCACGUUUGAGGUAAAAUUGCCUUGAAAUGGGGGUUUACGGGUGUUUUCUAAGUCAAAUGGGUGGACAGACAAAGCUGUAUUUAGUUUACUGUGUUAAAUUUUAAAUUACCCUUACAGUUUUUGUUUUGUUUAUACAACAUGUGAAUUUUUUUAUUUCAGUGUUAACCAUGUUCUGAAGA
rnacentral:lncRNA from 1 species